CGCCCAGACUCCUACGGGAGGCAGCAGUGAGGAAUAUUGGUCAAUGGCCGAGAGGCUGAACCAGCCAAGUCGCGUGAGGGAAGAAUGUCCUAAGGCUUGUAAACCUCUUUUGUCGGGGAGCAAAAAGGCUCUGCGGAGUCGUAUUGAGAGUACCCGAAGAAAAAGCAUCGGCUAACUCCGUGCCAGCAGCCGCGGUAAUACGGAGGAUGCGAGCGUUAUCCGGAUUUAUUGGGUGUAAAGGGUGCGUAGACGGGAAAACAAGUUAGUUGUGAAAUCCCUCGGCUUAACUGAGGAACUGCAACUAAAACUAUUUUUCUUGAGUGUUGGAGAGGAAAGUGGAAUUCCUAGUGUAGCGGUGAAAUGCGUAGAUAUUAGGAGGAACACCAGUGGCGAAGGCGACUUUCUGGACAAUAACUGACGUUGAGGCACGAAAGUGUGGGGAGCAAACAGGAUUAGAUACCCGGGUCC
rnacentral:rRNA from 1 species